CAUGUAAUUCUAGUGAUUAUUGAACUAACUCAUUUUUAAGUUAAAGGAUAGAUGAUUCUAAAUCUUUACAUUUAGUGCAAGAAGUAAAAGAUGUUGACAUAUAGUUGUCAUACUUAUUUUUUAAUAUAUCAAAUUCAUUAGCAAGCAUACUUAUUUUUUAAUAUAUCAAAUUCAUUAGCAAGUGAAACGUGAUCCUUUUUUAGCAAUCUAUAAUUUUU
rnacentral:lncRNA from 1 species